UGGGGAAUUUUGCACAAUGGGGGAAACCCUGAUGCAGCGACGCCGCGUGAUUUAGAAGGCCUUCGGGUUGUAAAAAUCUUUUCUAUGGGCAGAAAAUGACAGUACCAUAGGAAUAAGGACCGGCUAAUUACGUGCCAGCAGCCGCGGUAAUACGUAAGGUCCGAGCGUUGUCCGGAAUCAUUGGGCGUAAAGGGUACGUAGGCGGGUAAGCAAGUUAGAAGUGAAAUCCUAUAGCUCAACUAUAGUAAGCUUUUAAAACUGCUCAUCUUGAGGUAUGGAAGGGAAAGUGGAAUUCCUAGUGUAGCGGUGAAAUGCGCAGAUAUUAGGAGGAAUACCGGUGGCGAAGGCGACUUUCUGGCCAUAACCUGACGCUGAGGUACGAAAGCGUGGGUAGCAAACAGG
rnacentral:rRNA from 1 species